UACGUAGGGUGCAAGCGUUGUCCGGAAUUAUUGGGCGUAAAGAGCUCGUAGGCGGUUUGUCGCGUCUGCUGUGAAAACGCGAGGCUCAACCCUCGCGCCUGCAGGUGGGGUACGGGCAGACUAGAGUGCGGUAGGGGGAGAUUGGAAUUCCUGGUGUAGCGGUGGAAUGCGCAGAUAUCAGGAGGAACACCGAUGGCGAAGGCAGAUCUCUGGGCCGUAACUGACGCUGAGGAGCGAAAGCGUGGGGAGCGAACGG
rnacentral:rRNA from 1 species